UGAAUUGCAGAAUCCCGUGAACCAUCGAGUCUUUGAACGCAAGUUGCGCCUGAAGCCAUUAGGCUGAGGGCACGUCUGCCUGGGCGUCACGCAUCGCGUCACCCCUCCCCCAAUUCUGGUGGGAGGGGUG
rnacentral:rRNA from 1 species